rnacentral:tRNA from 1 species
UCCUGAUAGCUCAGUUGGUAAAGAAUCUGCCUGCAAUGCAGGAGACCCUGGUUUGAUUCCUGGGUCGGGAA